UACUAUUUGUAAUGUUGAAGGCUAUGCCUACGUGUAUGGCCUUGGCUUCUAUCAAUCAAAUUUAUUUGUAUAGUGUAUUUUACGGCAGUUGUCACAAUGCGCUUUACAGACAACCCUGGCCUGCACCCCCACAGGAGCAAGCCUAAGGCGACAGUGGCAAGGAAAAGCUCCCUGUGGCAGAUAGGAAGAAACCUUGGAAGGAACCAGGCUCAAGGGGGAAACCCAUCCUCCUCUGGUCGGCUCAGGUUGUUGAUUGUGACAAGCAUGUCAGUCAGUGGCUUAGCUACCUCGUAAGCCCAAGGUCAUUCAAGCUAAUCGCCAAAUAUUAUUAGGCUAUGUGUACCAACAGCUGUUGGUAUCUCCCCCCAGCACAGAGAUUUAAACCAAUUAGAGGGAAAUAUACUACUCGUAUUAGUGUAAUGAUCCUCGUUCGGUAGUAGUAGCAGCAGCAGCAAUAAACAGCAGGAGCAGUCGGAGCAGUAGCAUCAGCACCAGCAACAGCAGUAGCAGUAACAUCAGCAGUAGUGGCAGCAGUAACGCAGCAGCAGCAGUAGCACUCAGCAGCAGUAACAGCAGCAACAGCAGAAACAGAUUAUAGAGGAAACAUUGGUGGCUGCGACACCGGUACUUGCCAGUAGACAGUAGCAGCCGUGCUCAUAUACUGCAAAGCUUAUAGCUUGGAACGGAAAUUGACAUCACUGCUGUCGUUGCCGCACUGGAGCAGGAGUGGUGGUGUAGAACUCCGGAAUGGGGACCACAUUGCCAAUGAGACGGAGGCGGAUGGCAACCAGAUUUCAUCAUGGCAUUUCCCAAUAAAGGCUCCUCAGGGCUCGCAUGGGGAUGUAAGAGGGAAGUCAAACUGGGACCCAGAAAAGGCUGACAUUUGACCGAGCCAGCAUGCUGGGAUGCAGCGUGUACUUCAAAGGACCCGAGAGCCUGGUGGUAAAACAAUAAGUCACUCGGACUUCCUCUGAAUGGGCAGGCCAUUUGGCUCUCUGGAAUGUUACCACCUGGACACAACCAAGAUAAAGGGAACUAGUCUCUUUGUCUGUGGUUGUGGGUGUGGGUGUUUUGGGGUCGUAAAGGGUGAAACGACCGGCACCUGGUGGGGGCCACUGCACGGGACAGUACCACAGUGCCCUCAUUUGGGCCCCUCGGAUAUUACACUUUGUAUUUCUUUUCUGGAUCUGGACUAUAAACCAUCUAUAAACCAUCUGUAUAUCUUAUUUACAAAUCCCGGAAAACCUUACAAACCAUGCACAUGUUUUCAUUGUAUUAUUGUAUUAUGCCUUAUGUAAUAAUAACAUGGAUUGCAUGUACAAUGGUUAAACAAAAGGGUAUUUUCAUGACAACUGCACCAUAAUAUUACAUCCACUUGGCAUGUUUGGUAUGUACAUGUUCUCAAUAAUUCAAGCCAUUGAAUGAAAUAUGUUUCAUACCAAAUAUAAUUUGAAAAAACAUAGUUUCAGCAACUCAGGAAAAAACUAACACAAUGGAAUGUCCUCUCUGGUAAUCAUCUCCUUUUCUCGAUUUCCCCACUGAUUGUUUUAACAGCAGCCCCAAAUAGUGGGGGCCGAAAUUUGAGAUUUAUGAUUCGGCCAGGUUAAUUUAUGGUAAUGCCGCCUAGAUCAAACGCGGGAUUUGGCCUAAAAGGAAGGGAGACAAUCCUGUCGAGGAAGAUCGUAAUCGACUUCCCACAGUGCACAUACUCUGUGCGCUGUGUGUAGACAGACAAGGAAGAUCGUAAUCGACUUCCCACCGUGCACAUACUAUGUGCGCUGUGUGUAGAUAGCCAAGGAAGAUCGUAAUCGACUUCCCUCAGUGCACAUACUAGGCUAUGUGUUCUGUGUAGAGAUAGCCAUGGAAGAUCGUAAACGACUUCCCCACGUUACACAUAAUCUCUGUGGUGUGUGUAGAUUCACAAGGAAGAUCGCAAUCGACUUCCCGCACUGCGCAUACUCGAUGUUCUGUGUGUAGCUAAACAGGCUGGUAAGAACUCUUUUACUCUGUAUUUCUGUUUUUAACCUUUAUAAUUGAUUUUGGAAAUUGAAGAUAAUAACCUACCUGCCUGUUCAAUAAAUUCUUAUUUUUAACUUG